rnacentral:rRNA from 1 species
GAGUUUGAUCUUGGCUCAGGACGAACGCUGGCGGCGCGCCUAACACAUGCAAGUCGAACGAGCGAGAGAGAGCUUGCUUUCUCGAGCGAGUGGCGAACGGGUGAGUAACGCGUGAGGAACCUGCCUCAAAGAGGGGGACAACAGUUGGAAACGACUGCUAAUACCGCAUAAGCCCACAGCUCGGCAUCGAGCAGAGGGAAAAGGAGCAAUCCGCUUUGAGAUGGCCUCGCGUCCGAUUAGAUAGUUGGCGGGGUAACGCCCACAAGUCAACGAUGGAUAGGGGUUCUGGAGAGGAAGGUCCCCCCAAUUGGAACUGAGACACGGUCCAAACUCC